AUUGAACGCUGGCGGCAUGCCUUACACAUGCAAGUCGAACGGAUCAGAGGAGCUUGCUCUUCUGGUUAGUGGCGGACGGGUGAGUAAUGCAUCGGAACGUACCCAGUAGUGGGGGAUAACGUAGCGAAAGUUACGCUAAUACCGCAUACGACCUGAGGGUGAAAGCAGGGGAUCGCAAGACCUUGCGCUAUUGGAGCGGCCGAUGUCGGAUUAGCUAGUUGGUAGGGUAAAAGCCUACCAAGGCGACGAUCCGUAGCUGGUCUGAGAGGACGACCAGCCAACCUGGGACUGAGACCCGGCCCAGACUCCUACGGGAGGCAGCAGUGGGGAAUUUUGGACAAUGGGGGAAACCCUGAUUCAGCCAUGCCGCGUGAGUGAAGAAGGCCUUCGGGUUGUAAAGCUCUUUCAGACGGAAAGAAAUCUUCCGGGCUAAUACCUCGGGAGGAUGACGGUACCGUAAGAAGAAGCACCGGCUAACUACGUGCCAGCAGCCGCCGUAA
rnacentral:rRNA from 1 species